UACGGAGGGGGCUAGCGUUGUUCGGAUUUACUGGGCGUAAAGCGCACGUAGGCGGUUUGUUAAGUCAGGGGUGAAAUCCCGGAGCUCAACUCCGGAACUGCCUUUGAUACUGGCAAGCUAGAGUCCGGAAGAGGUAAGUGGAACUCCUAGUGUAGAGGUGGAAUUCGUAGAUAUUUAGGAGGAACACCAGUGGCGAAGGCGUCUAUCUGGUUCAAGUCUGACGCUGAGGCGCGAAGGCGUGGGGGAGCAAACAGG
rnacentral:rRNA from 1 species